AUGCCCUUCCUAACGCCAACCACUCCGAGAGUGUAGUGGGUGAUUUUAUCUGUCAAUAUUGACAAUUAUCAUUUACUUUCACUGAAUUCAUCCUCCUCAAAUGUCAGAUACAGUGAUGGUAAUAAAUAGUGACAGUUUGGACAAUUUAUGCAGCAUUGAAAUAGAAACCACAGAGGAGUGAAAAAAAUU